rnacentral:rRNA from 1 species
CCAGUGUGUUUCGACACACUAUCAUUAACUGAAUCCAUAGGUUAAUGAGGCGAACCGGGGGAACUGAAACAUCUAAGUACCCCGAGGAAAAGAAAUCAACCGAGAUUCCCCCAGUAGCGGCGAGCGAACGGGGAGGAGCCCAGAGCCUGAAUCAGUGUGUGUGUUAGUGGAAGCGUCUGGAAAGGCGCGCGAUACAGGGUGACAGCCCCGUACACAAAAAUGCACAUAUUGUGAGCUCGAUGAGUAGGGCGGGACACGUGGUAUCCUGUCUGAAUAUGGGGGGACCAUCCUCCAAGGCUAAAUACUCCUGACUGACCGAUAGUGAACCAGUACCGUGAGGGAAAGGCGAAAAGAACCCCGGCGAGGGGAGUGAAAAAGAACCUGAAACCGUGUACGUACAAGCAGUGGGAGCCUCUUAAUGGGGUGACUGCGUACCUUUUGUAUAAUGGGUCAGCGACUUAUAUUCUGUAGCAAGGUUAACCGAAUAGGGGAGCCGAAGGGAAACCGAGUCUUAACUGGGCGUUAAGUUGCAGGGUAUAGACCCGAAACCCGGUGAUCUAGCCAUGGGCAGGUUGAAGGUUGGGUAACACUAACUGGAGGACCGAACCGACUAAUGUUGAAAAAUUAGCGGAUGACUUGUGGCUGGGGGUGAAAGGCCAAUCAAACCGGGAGAUAGCUGGUUCUCCCCGAAAGCUAUUUAGGUAGCGCCUCGUGAAUUCAUCUCCGGGGGUAGAGCACUGUUUCGGCAAGGGGGUCAUCCCGACUUACCAACCCGAUGCAAACUGCGAAUACCGGAGAAUGUUAUCACGGGAGACACACGGCGGGUGCUAACGUCCGUCGUGAAGAGGGAAACAACCCAGACCGCCAGCUAAGGUCCCAAAGUCAUGGUUAAGUGGGAAACGAUGUGGGAAGGCCCAGACAGCCAGGAUGUUGGCUUAGAAGCAGCCAUCAUUUAAAGAAAGCGUAAUAGCUCACUGGUCGAGUCGGCCUGCGCGGAAGAUGUAACGGGGCUAAACCAUGCACCGAAGCUGCGGCAGCGACACUAUGUGUUGUUGGGUAGGGGAGCG